rnacentral:rRNA from 1 species
ACUCCUACGGGAGGCAGCAGUGGGGAAUAUUGCACAAUGGGCGCAAGCCUGAUGCAGCAACGCCGCGUGAGCGAUGAAGGCCUUCGGGUCGUAAAGCUCUGUCCUCAAGGAAGAAUAAAUGACGGUACUUGAGGAGGAAGCCCGGCUAACUACGUGCCAGCAGCCGCGGUAAUACGUAGGGGGCAAGCGUUAUCCGGAAUCACUGGGGCGUAAAGGGUGCGUAGGCGGUUUUUCAAGUCAGAAGUGAAAGGCUAUGGCUCAACCAUAGUAAGCUUUUGAAACUGUUAAACUUGAGUGCAGGAGAGGAAAGUGGAAUUCCUAGUGUAGAGGUGAAAUUCGUAGAUAUUAGGAGGAACACCAGUGGUGAAGGCGACUUUCUGGACUGUAACUGACGCUGAGGCACGAAAGCGUGGGGAGCGAACAGGAUUAGAUACCCUGGUAGCACAGAG